rnacentral:rRNA from 2 species
GCGUUAAGUUGCAGGGUAUAGACCCGAAACCCGGUGAUCUAGCCAUGGGCAGGUUGAAGGUUGGGUAACACUAACUGGAGGACCGAACCGACUAAUGUUGAAAAAUUAGCGGAUGACCUGUGGCUGGGGGUGAAAGGCCAAUCAAACCGGGAGAUAGCUGGUUCUCCCCGAAAGCUAUUUAGGUAGCGCCUCGUGAAUUCAUCUCCGGGGGUAGAGCACUGUUUCGGCUAGGGGGCCAUCCCGGCUUACCAACCCGAUGCAAACUGCGAAUACCGGAGAAUGUUAUCACGGGAGACACACGGCGGGUGCUAACGUCCGUCGUGAAGAGGGAAACAACCCAGACCGCCAGCUAAGGUCCCAAAGUCAUGGUUAAGUGGGAAACGAUGUGGGAAGGCCCAGACAGCCAGGAUGUUGGCUUAGAAGCAGCCAUCAUUUAAAGAAAGCGUAAUAGCUCACUGGUCGAGUCGGCCUGCGCGGAAGAUGUAACGGGGCUAAACCAUGCACCGAAGCUGCGGCAGCGACGCUGAUGCGUUGUUGGGUAGGGGAGCGUUCUGUAAGCCUGUGAAGGUGGCCUGUGAGGGUUGCUGGAGGUAUCAGAAGUGCGAAUGCUGACAUAAGUAACGAUAAAGCGGGUGAAAAGCCCGCUCGCCGGAAGACCAAGGGUUCCUGUCCAACGUUAAUCGGGGCAGGGUGAGUCGACCCCUAAGGCGAGGCCGAAAGGCGUAGUCGAUGGGAAACGGGUUAAUAUUCCCGUACUUGGUGUUACUGCGAAGGGGGGACGGAGAAGGCUAUGUUGGCCGGGCGACGGUUGUCCCGGUUUAAGCGUGUAGGUGUGUGUUCCAGGUAAAUCCGGUUCACUUUAACACUGAGGCGUGAUGACGAGGCACUACGGUGCUGAAGCAACAAAUGCCCUGCUUCCAGGAAAAGCCUCUAAGCAUCAGGUAACAUCAAAUCGUACCCCAAACCGACACAGGUGGUCAGGUAGAGAAUACCAAGGCGCUUGAGAGAACUCGGGUGAAGGAACUAGGCAAAAUGGUGCCGUAACUUCGGGAGAAGGCACGCUGACACGUAGGUGAAGUGAUUUACUCACGGAGCUGAAGUCAGUCGAAGAUACCAGCUGGCUGCAACUGUUUAUUAAAAACACAGCACUGUGCAAACACGAAAGUGGACGUAUACGGUGUGACGCCUGCCCGGUGCCGGAAGGUUAAUUGAUGGGGUCAGCGCAAGCGAAGCUCCUGAUCGAAGCCCCGGUAAACGGCGGCCGUAACUAUAACGGUCCUAAGGUAGCGAAAUUCCUUGUCGGGUAAGUUCCGACCUGCACGAAUGGCGUAAUGAUGGCCAGGCUGUCUCCACCCGAGACUCAGUGAAAUUGAACUCGCUGUGAAGAUGCAGUGUACCCGCGGCAAGACGGAAAGACCCCGUGAACCUUUACUAUAGCUUGACACUGAACAUUGAGCCUUGAUGUGUAGGAUAGGUGGGAGGCUUUGAAGUGUGGACGCCAGUCUGCAUGGAGCCGACCUUGAAAUACCACCCUUUAAUGUUUGAUGUUCUAACGUGGACCCGUAAUCCGGGUUGCGGACAGUGUCUGGUGGGUAGUUUGACUGGGGCGGUCUCCUCCUAAAGAGUAACGGAGGAGCACGAAGGUUGGCUAAUCCUGGUCGGACAUCAGGAGGUUAGUGCAAUGGCAUAAGCCAGCUUGACUGCGAGCGUGACGGCGCGAGCAGGUGCGAAAGCAGGUCAUAGUGAUCCGGUGGUUCUGAAUGGAAGGGCCAUCGCUCAACGGAUAAAAGGUACUCCGGGGAUAACAGGCUGAUACCGCCCAAGAGUUCAUAUCGACGGCGGUGUUUGGCACCUCGAUGUCGGCUCAUCACAUCCUGGGGCUGAAGUAGGUCCCAAGGGUAUGGCUGUUCGCCAUUUAAAGUGGUACGCGAGCUGGGUUUAGAACGUCGUGAGACAGUUCGGUCCCUAUCUGCCGUGGGCGCUGGAGAACUGAGGGGGGCUGCUCCUAGUACGAGAGGACCGGAGUGGACGCAUCACUGGUGUUCGGGUUGUCAUGCCAAUGGCACUGCCCGGUAGCUAAAUGCGGAAGAGAUAAGUGCUGAAAGCAUCUAAGCACGAAACUUGCCCCGAGAUGAGUUCU